GGUUGAACCGCUAGUUUGACCAGCAACGGCGAGUUACGACACACGGGACAAGUAGGAUGAACCCUCAACCAUUUGUCAAUACACUUCCGAUGAAACAAGUGACCACAUUCGGGCAACAACCGAAUAACAUCCGCGGGCUUAUAAUCCGCCAAACAAAUAGAACAACCUGACCCAUUCGCGUCCACAAGAGAGUCACCCUUUCCAGCCAUCAUCACCUCAGAGUAAACAAACUCCGGAAAAGUCUUGAGAACAUCGUCGUCAACGCCUCUAGAGACCAUCCUUGUCCUAAACCGUUGAUCAUCACCUUCUGGAGGUGAUGAAGAGCGUGUGUCGCGCCUACACUUGUAAGAAGCAUAGGAGAGAGUGAACAAGAGGAUGAUGACGGCGAAGGCUAGCCCGAGGACGUAGGUGACGUUAUUGUCGGGUUUUCCGGUGGUGUCAAUGGUAAAUGUCAACUUGGAGGUUGUUUUAUAUAUAUGCGGAGAUAAGGUCUCUUGGCCUUUGGGUUUGAUCAAUAACCUUUAAAAAUUCGUAUUUGAAACGUAUAUAUAUAGCAUAUAUACGCAUAGACCACUAUAACUAUGGAUGUAUGCAAAACAUUAAAAAGUAGUUGUUAAAUCAAUUUUAAGUU
rnacentral:lncRNA from 1 species